AUGCGGUAUGGGCUUUGUUCAUUGUUAAAGGCCGUACGGUGACCUAUAGUUGUUAAUUUCUGUGUUAUUUUGGUCUCAUGUGAAGAGUUGUCUCAUUGACAAUCAUACCACAUCUUCUUUUUUUUUAUAUUCCACAUGUUUGAAAUAAAAAUGAUUACAUUCUUUUAGUCCAUUAUUGUUUUAUAAAUUAAUAUAAUAUGAUUUCAUCUAUUUUACUACAUAAUUUUACAAAUGUUAAUUCGCAAAUUCCUAUGCUAGAAAAUCGUUAUGUGCCUAGAAUUAGGCUUCGUGUUAAAAAAUUUCGGAAACACACUUGUUAUAUGCACUAUAUGUAUCUUCUUUGUCGGGUUGUUGUCCAUUUGACACAUU
rnacentral:lncRNA from 1 species